ACUUCAGCGGAACAAAUGAUCAUUGAUGUCCUUCACCUUGGGAAGGCAACAGUACCCAAGAUAGAAAUUCAGGAAAAACUAGCCAAAAUGUACAAGACCAUGCCAGAUGUCAUCUUUGUAUUCAGAUUCAGAACUCAUUUUGGUGGUGGGGAUCGGAGGAGCG